CUGUCAGCUUUUGCGGGGUUCCCAGAACAGCAUGUCCACUCUGGCACAGCCCCAGAUCCUUUCCAGGAGAGCACAGCCUCCAGGCAGGAGGAACUCAGGGUGACUCAGAUUCACAUGUGACAAACAGCCUGUGAAGUAAAACAGACCAGCGUGCUCCAGCACAGCUGUCUUCAGAUCCCAGGGAGAAAGGGGUGGCAUGAGAAGAAGUAAUGGACAGCGUUGAACUCACCCCUCAUGCCGAUCCCAUGUCUCAGGAGAUCCAUCUGCUUCUCCUCAACGUUAUUCUAGGUCUGCCAUGGGCAUCAGUGAGCUCACACAGGGGGUGUGCCAAGUUGGCAACUGUCUUAUCUGUGUGCUGGUUAUUCUUUGAAUCAGUUCUCUUGGAGCCUGUUGCCAUCAUCACCGCUGGGAUUUAGAGAAAUGUCCCUUACUGGCUCCUAUGUGGCAGCAUUUGGGUUCCAGCUGGUGGUGCUAUUUGGAAAGGUCAUGGAGCCUUGAGGAGACUGAAUCUUGGUGGAGUAGUAGUCACAAAGGUGAACCUUGAGGGCGGAUAGCCUGGCCCCACUUCCUGCCUGCUCUCUGAAUGCUGACUGUAGAGCUGUGUGACUAUCUGCCUCAUGUUCCUGCUGCCAUGCCUUCCCUGUUGUGAUGGACUGAAUUCCUUCUUCUACUGUGAGCCAGAAGAAAUUAUUCCUUCCUUUAAGUUGCCGUUGCCACAGCAAUGCAAAAAGUAAAUCACACAACUGCUAUACUUGUCAGAACAUGAGCUGUGGGUGCUGUAGUGUGCAGACAUGUCAGCCUGACUCCCCACUCCCCUGCUUCCUGUGGUCCAACUGUGUAUUUCUUAAAUUUGGGGAUAUUCAUAUCAUGCCUCUCAGGCAUUGACUUUAAGCUUUGAAAUUUGACUUUGACUGUGCCCUUUUCCAGCUUCAAACACUUGACCUAAUAUUUUGGAGGACACUUUCAUAGGUGUCCUGUAAAACGUGGCAUCAAACCCUCAUGGUGUUUGCUGUUUGUUGUUAUGUGAUUAAAGAAGGGAGAAGCCAGGGAUGAUCUGAAGGUAUAGAAAGAAGUAUGAGACACAGUCUUAACUAGAAGGAGUUCAUAGUAUGAUUUGUUAGGCAGAGUAGAAUUCUAGACAGUGGGCAAAGCACAUGGUAUGAAAAGGGUGUUUUGUGAAGACUUUACAGAGGAAUGGGCUUUGAUUUCAACCUUACAAAUGAUUGAUACUUACUCUGGAAUCUGGAGAACAUAAUUCAAAAGCCAAAGUCAGUGUCAUUGGGUAUGGGUAUGUCAAGGGUAUGGGUAGGAUUUUAGUAUUUUUUUCUUUAAUUUCUGAGUGUAAUACAGUCAGACAUUUUAGUGGUGUAACUAUUUGAAGAAUAUCUGAAUCCCAAAAGCUGCUGACAUUCUGUGGUUGCUGCUUUCUAGAUAAGAAAUAUAUAUAUAUAUAUAUAUAUAUAUAUAUAUAUACAUAUAUAUGUGUGUGUAUGUAUAUAUGUGUAUAUGUAAAUAUAUAUACAUAUAUAUAAUCAUCUAUGAUAAACUUUACUUAAAAGUUGCCAUAAAGAAAGCUGUUUACUGAAAUCCUAAUUUUUAUAGCUUCUGUAUAAUGAUAACAAGUUCCAAGAUCAGUUAGACCAAGGUACAAUGUGAGGUAGUACACUAACAGUAACUCUGAAAAGAAAACUAUACAAAUAUGCAAUUAUAAACCAUUAAAUAAACUGAAAGUGAAAGUCCUUGAUAUGAAAACAGAA